UACGUAGGGAGCAAGCGUUGUCCGGAAUCAUUGGGCGUAAAGCGCGCGUAGGCGGCCCUGUAAGUCCGUUGUGAAAGUCAAAGGCUCAACCUUUGAAAGCCGAUGGAUACUGCAGGGCUAGAGUCCGGAAGAGGCGAGUGGAAUUCCUGGUGUAGCGGUGGAAUGCGCAGAUAUCAGGUGGAACACCAAUAGCGAAGGCAGCUCGCUGGGACGGUACUGACGCUAAGGCACGAAAGCUAGGGUAGCGAACGGG
rnacentral:rRNA from 1 species